AUAAAAAUCAGCACGCAAUGGGAUUUCAGAGAUCGAAGAGGUGAGCUCAGAAAUCGAAGAAGCCAUUCGGAGAUCGAAGAGGCGCCAGCUUUCUCAAAAGUUGGGCUUGCUCACAAACCAUCAAUUCCAGAUACCGAAGAGCGUCAACUGUCUCAGCCUCGUCAGCACCCAUCACACGCAACUCAGCUUUGCGAAAAUCACGGGCAGUCUGUCGAAGCACCGAUUCCAACCAUCUGUCUCUC
rnacentral:lncRNA from 1 species